rnacentral:rRNA from 1 species
UACGUAGGGCGCGAGCGUUGUCCGGAAUUAUUGGGCGUAAAGAGCUCGUAGGCGGCCUGUUGCGUCCGCUGUGAAAUCCCGGGGCUUAACCCUGGGCGUGCAGUGGAUACGGGCAGGCUGGAGGCAGGCAGGGGAGAUCGGAAUUCCUGGUGUAGCGGUGAAAUGCGCAGAUAUCAGGAGGAACACCGGUGGCGAAGGCGGAUCUCUGGGCCGAUACUGACGCUGAGGAGCGAAAGCGUGGGGAGCGAACAGG